CAAACCUACAGUAUACUGUAGCUUUCAUUUCACACCACGUUGCAUAGAAAAAGCAUCAGAUACUUUAUAGAAUAUCAAAACUCUGUGGACGUACAGCCUCUAUAAUGCAUUUGUUUUAAUCAGACCGUAUAUGCUGUGACGUCUUACGAGUUAUUCAUUUUUUUUGUUUUGUUUUGUUUGUUUUCCCUGUGCAGGUCGUGCAAUCCGGUAUUCGCGUCAUGUAUUCAGAGUUCAACUAAUUCGCUCUCGAAAAUUAUUUCUAUUUAGUACUAACUCAGGUUUAUGUGAGGUGAAAAUGAGCAACCAUUUAUGAGAUUGUCUUUUAUGAAAAGAUAUUUGAAACAGCGUGUGUGUGUGUGUGUGUGUGUGUGAAAUGUGUUUGUGUUCGUAACCGCAUUAUGAUGUUUUGAACGAGAUACGAAAUAAAUAAAUAAAGAAAGAAAGACCAUUUAUUUCACCUUUAACAUUUUUUUUUUUAUUACGGACAAAUGAAACCAAAAAGAUAUAGUGACACAAAAUUACCUGGCUGCAAGGAAAGAAUAGGCCAGUAUCAAAAAGUAAAAAAACAAACGAACGAACAAACGAAGAACGGACAAACAAACAAAAGCAAUCUUCAUCAAACCAAAAAAGCACAAAAAAAAACAAAAAAAAAACGAAAUAAUGUAGUUAUAUGCAAAAAUGAUCUCAUUUUGUUCAUAAAUAGAUAGGAAACCUGUUAAACAAUUAAAUAACUGAUGGGCAACUUGCAAAAAAAAAAAAAAAAAAAAAAAAGGAUAAGUUGGUAACAAUUUAAAAUAAUUAUAAUUACUGGCUUUACAAAUAAAAUAACUACAAUUGGCAGGUUUGUACACAAAUUAAAUGUCUUAAAAGUUUUUUUUUUUUUUUAACCAAACUAAAAUAUUAUGCUACAGUGAAAGAAAAAAAAAAAAAAAAGCUUGACUAAAUGAUCAAAUGUAUUUUUUUUUUUCCCACAAAACAUAAGGAUGAGAUCAACACAAUAUAACACCUAGCAAAGCUACUAGAAAACUAUAGACCCACUGUUGUUUUAAAUGUGUGCUGAAAUAUCUCACAUUGAGCACGGUUUAAAUUCACCUCUAAAUGUUGCACUGGUAUGGAUUCAUCAGUCAGACCAGGCCAACAGAACGACUCUGAUUGCCUUUAAAUGAAUGCCUUUGUUUUAAUACUGGGGUGGGGGGGUGUCAAGAGGGGGGGGUAUUUGAGAUAGAGUACAGUUCCUGUAAAACCUGGCCCCGUUUUUCAUCCGUCUGAAAUGUACAACCUGAGAUAACAAACAAAGCCAAUCGAAUCCUGAACCAAUUCCGGUUCUUAAAACAAGCCUGUUUGGAGAAAUGUUACAAACAAAAGGCCUGGGUCAGGGUUUUCUGCUAAUUUACACGGUCCGAGCCGCAGUUUUUGCGGAUCCCGAACGGAGACGCGGGUCAUAAAGUUCGUAAUGGUUUUGAACCGUCAAUCUUUAUUCGACAAUCCACCCAGUGAGCACAGAUUUAAUGCAAGAUUGUGUUCGUGUGAAACACUCCUCUAAUAUCUGCACAGGCUGAUCAAUUUUUCAACACACACACACACACACACACACACACUCAUUUGCACACAUUCCAGCACACGCUCAUAGGAUACCAUUUAAAAUACAAAUUAAUGAAUUAUAAGUCAUAUUAAAGAAGAAAAAAUAUCUGGACUUCAUUUUAUUAUUUUUUUUUUUUCCAAUUUUGAUCCCAAAAAAAGUGAUAUUUACAAUCACACUGUGACAGAUUAUUAAAGACCUAUUGAGGUCUUUAAAAUUACAAAAAAAAAAAAAAAAAAAAAAAAGUUAUUAAAUGUAUUUAUCUAUUCACCUGUUUCUUUUUUCUUCUUCUUCUUCUUCUUCUUCUUUUCUGACCUUACUAAUAUCUUUUCAAAAUUCACAGAGUAUCAGAUGGACCUACAGUAAGAUGUUGGUCUUUAAUGACUUCAUCAUAAGAGUAUUUCUCUACAGUACAGGACCUGUUAUUGGCUAAAAAACAAAACAAAACAAACAAGAAAAAAAAACCCAAUAAAAAAAAAAAAAUUGUAGCAAGCAAGAAAUAAAUAAAAGAACAAACGAGGGCAUGAGAAAGUAAUCGAGAAGAGGAAAGCUUUCCUCUAUUUUAAUUAAAGCUCGUUUGCCCCGAGGGCCAGGUUUAUGGUAGUUUGUUUAAUUUUUCCUUUAAUAUAUCUAUGUUGUUUAUUUUUUAUUUUUUUAUUUAUUUAUUUAUUUAUUUUUUUGAAAUUCAGAGAAAGUAAGAGUGCUCUGGAAGGUCUCCAGUGGGAGGCCUGUACAUUUUAAGUGCUUGGCAAAAAAAUGAGAGGAUCACUAGUAGUCUUCAGAACACGCGUACACAUCCUUCUAAAAACGAAUGAAAAUGACACUGAGUAAAAACAGAAGGUGACGGGGGAAAGGGUGGAGAGGUGUAGGGUACUCCCUGGUGUUGUUUCAUCACUUUUUUUUUUUUGUCACACAUCGUCUUUUUGUUUCUUCUCCAUUCACUUCAAGUGAGGUAGAGUGGCUUGUCCCUGCCUAUCAUGCUGCCACUGCAAAAAAAACCAAAAAAAAAAAAAACAAUUUAAGUCUGACAACAUUCAUAGUUCAUACACAAAGAAAAUAGGAUCAUCAGAGCUAAACAGGAUCAUGCAGCGAAAAAUCUUGAUAGCCAUAUUUUAUGCUGUCCAAACUACUCCAGAUGUGAACGUAUAAACGCGACUCUUCUGCUUUCAGGCUUUUUUUUUUAUACGAGUCUGGACUUUGUCAGUCUCUCAGAUUCUCGGUCAGUCGUUUAAACACAGUUCACGCAUGGGCCGGAGAGCACACUCUCUCAGAGCACGGGACAGGGGGAGAAAAGGCCAUAGACGAGGCUGCUGUGCCAUGGUAUUUGAGGUCUGGCGCUGCUCUAUCGCAUUAACACACAGGUGUAUCUGAUGCAUUACUGUAAAUACUGAAAUAGAUCAGCUGAAUACGCACAGUGUAGACUGUAGAGUGUAGA
ensembl:lncRNA